UACAGAGGUCUCAAGCGUUGUUCGGAUUCAUUGGGCGUAAAGGGUGCGUAGGCGGCCAACUAAGUCGGACGUGAAAUCCCUCGGCUUAACCGGGGAACUGCGUCCGAUACUGGAUGGCUUGAGUUCGGGAGAGGGAUGCGGAAUUCCAGGUGUAGCGGUGAAAUGCGUAGAUAUCUGGAGGAACACCGGUGGCGAAGGCGGCAUCCUGGACCGACACUGACGCUGAGGAGCGAAAGCCAGGGGAGCGAACGGG
rnacentral:rRNA from 1 species